AACGAACGCUGGCGGCAUGCCUAACACAUGCAAGUCGAACGAGAUCUUCGGGUCUAGUGGCGCACGGGUGCGUAACGCGUGGGAAUCUGCCCCUUGGUUCGGAAUAACAGUUGGAAACGACUGCUAAUACCGGAUGAUGACGAAAGUCCAAAGAUUUAUCGCCAGAGGAUGAGCCCGCGUAGGAUUAGCUAGUUGGUGUGGUAAAGGCGCACCAAGGCGACGAUCCUUAGCUGGUCUGAGAGGAUGAUCAGCCACACUGGUACUGAGACACGGCACAGACACCUACGGGAGGGAGCAGUGGGGAAUGUUGGACAAUGGGCGAAAGCCUGAUCCAGCAAUGCCGCGUGAGUGAUGAAGGCCUUAGGGUUGUAAAGCUCUUUUACCCGGGAUGAUAAUGACAGUACCGGGAGAAUAAGCUCCGGCUAACUCCGUGCCAGCCGCCGCCGUAA
rnacentral:rRNA from 1 species